rnacentral:rRNA from 1 species
GAAUUUUAUGAAUUAAAAUAAAUAAAUAUUAAAUUAAAUUCAUUUUAUUGGGAGGAUAUUUAAAUUAAUAAAACUUUAAUUAUAAUUUAUACAUUAAUUAAUGGUAAAAGAUGAAUAAAUAUUAUUUAAAUGAGAAUAAAUUACCUUAGGGAUAACAGCAUAAUAUUAUUUUGUAGUUCCUAUAUAAAAAAAUGAUUAU